CGGCCACGCUCUCAAUCGUGAAUUCACCUUUGCCCAGCCGUUCGAUCCGGCCGUAAAGACCACGUCGGUCUCGAACAGCCCGCGCUCCUUUCACGUCAUGGGAAGCGAGCCGCAACUCAUCGUCGGCCACGAAACUCUCGGUAUUACUCAGAAACUGACGAUUGGCGCUCGUUAUGUCCGCGAAGACGUCGAUUUCAGCGUCAACAACACCUCGCUGGCGACGCAAGUAACCAUCCCGCAACGAGAUUGGC
rnacentral:misc_RNA from 1 species